rnacentral:rRNA from 1 species
UAGUCCACGCCGUAAACGAUGAUUACUCGAUAUUGGCGAUAUAAUGUCAGUGUCCAAGCGAAAGCAUUAAGUAAUCCACCUGGGGAGUACGUUCGCAAGAAUGAAACUCAAAGGAAUUGACGGGGGCCCGCACAAGCGGUGGAGCAUGUGGUUUAAUUCGAUGAUACGCGAGGAGCCUUACCAGGGCUUAAAUGUAGAACGGCAAACUCAGAAAUGAGUCUUUCUUCGGACGUUUUACAAGGUGCUGCAUGGUUGUCGUCAGCUCGUGCCGUGAGGUGUCGGGUUAAGUCCCAUAACGAGCGCAACCCCUAUUCUUAGGUGCCAGCGAGUAAUGUCGGGGACUCUAGGAAAACUGCCAGUGUAAGCUGUGAGGAAGGUGGGGAUGACGUCAAAUCAUCACGGCCCUUACGUCCUGGGCUACAAUGGUACAUACAGAGGGUUGCCAAGCCGCGAGGUGGAGCUAAUCCCAGAAAGUGUAUCCCAGUUCGGAUCGGAGUCUGCAACUCGACUCCGU